ACUCAAAUGAAUAGACGGGGACCCGCACAAGCGGUGGAGCAUGUGGUUUAAUUCGAUGAUACGCGAAGAACCUUACCGAGGUUUGACAUCCUAGGAAUCCGGCAGAAACGUCGGAGUGCCUUCGGGAACCUAGUGACAGGUGUUGCAUGGCCGUCGUCAGCUCGUGUCGUGAGAUGUUGGGUUAAGUCCCGCAACGAGCGCAACCCUUGUCGUCUGUUGUAUUUUUCAGGCGAGACUGCCCGAGCCAAUCGGGAGGAAGGUGGGGAUGACGUCAGGUCAGCAUGACCCUUAUGCCUCGGGCUACACACGUGCUACAUUGGCCGGUACAACGGGCUGCUAAGUCGCGAGACGGAGCUAAUCCCAUCAAAACCGGUCUAAGUUCGGAUUGGAGGCUGCAACUCGCCUCCAUGAAGCUGGAAUCGCUAGUAACCGUAGGUCAGCAUACUACGGUGAAUACGUUCCCGGGUCUUGUACACACCGCCCGU
rnacentral:rRNA from 1 species